GAGGAAAAGAAACCAACCGGGAUUGCCUUAGUAACGGCGAGUGAAGCGGCAAAAGCUCAAAUUUGAAAUCUGGUACCUUCGGUGCCCGAGUUGUAAUUUGGAGAGGGCAACUUUGGGGCCGUUCCUUGUCUAUGUUCCUUGGAACAGGACGUCAUAGAGGGUGAGAAUCCCGUGUGGCGAGGAGUGCGGUUCUUUGUAAAGUGCCUUCGAAGAGUCGAGUUGUUUGGGAAUGCAGCUCUAAGUGGGUGGUAAAUUCCAUCUAAAGCUAAAUAUUGGCGAGAGACCGAUAGCGAACAAGUACAGUGAUGGAAAGAUGAAAAGAACUUUGAAAAGAGAGUGAAAAAGUACGUGAAAUUGUUGAAAGGGAAGGGCAUUUGAUCAGACAUGGUGUUUUGUGCCCUCUGCUCCUUGUGGGUAGGGGAAUCUCGCAUUUCACUGGGCCAGCAUCAGUUUUGGUGGCAGGAUAAAUCCAUAGGAAUGUAGCUUGCCUCGGUAAGUAUUAUAGCCUGUGGGAAUACUGCCAGCUGGGACUGAGGACUGCGACGUAAGUCAAGGAUGCUGGCAUAAUGGUUAUAUGCCGCCCG
rnacentral:rRNA from 1 species